AUACGGAGGGUGCAAGCGUUAAUCGGAAUUACUGGGCGUAAAGCGCACGCAGGCGGUUUGUUAAGUCAGAUGUGAAAUCCCCGGGCUCAACCUGGGAACUGCAUCUGAUACUGGCAAGCUUGAGUCUCGUAGAGGGGGGUAGAAUUCCAGGUGUAGCGGUGAAAUGCGUAGAGAUCUGGAGGAAUACCGGUGGCGAAGGCGGCCCCCUGGACGAAGCCUGACGCUCAGGUGCGAAAGCGUGGGGAGCAAACAGGAUUAGAUCCCCUGGUAGUCCACGCCGUAAACGAUGUCGACUUGGAGGUUGUGCCCUUGAGGCGUGGCUUCCGGAGCUAACGCGUUAAGUCGACCGCCUGGGGAGUACGGCCGCAAGGUUAAAACUCAAAUGAAUUGGCGGGG
rnacentral:rRNA from 1 species